rnacentral:rRNA from 1 species
GACGAACGCUGGCGGCGUGCUUAACACAUGCAAGUCGAACGAUGAAGCCCUUUCGGGGGUGGAUUAGUGGCGAACGGGUGAGUAACACGUGGGCAAUCUGCCCUGCACUCUGGGAUAACUCCGGGAAACCGGGGCUAAUACCGGAUAUGACCACUUCGGGCAUCCGUGGUGGUGGAAAGCUCCGGCGGUGCAGGAUGAGCUCGCGGCCUAUCAGCUUGUUGGUGGGUGAUGGCCUACCAAGGCGACGACGGGUAGCCGGCCUGAGAGGGCGACCGGCCACACUGGGACUGAGACACGGCCCAGACUCCUACGGGAGGCAGCAGUGGGGAAUAUUGCACAAUGGGCGAAAGCCUGAUGCAGCGACGCCGCGUGAGGGAUGACGGCCUUCGGGUUGUAAACCUCUUUCAGCAGGGAAGAAGCGCAAGUGACGGUACCUGCAGAAGAAGCACCGGCUAACUACGUG